AUUGAACGCUGGCGGCAGGCCUAACACAUGCAAGUCGAACGGUAACAGGAAGAAGCUUGCUUCUUUGCUGACGAGUGGCGGACGGGUGAGUAAUGUCUGGGAAACUGCCUGAUGGAGGGGGAUAACUACUGGAAACGGUAGCUAAUACCGCAUAACGUCGCAAGACCAAAGAGGGGGACCUUCGGGCCUCUUGCCAUCGGAUGUGCCCAGAUGGGAUUAGCUAGUAGGUGGGGUAACGGCUCACCUAGGCGACGAUCCCUAGCUGGUCUGAGAGGAUGGCCAGCCACACUGGAACUGAGACACGGUCCAGACUCCUACGGGAGGCAGCAGUGGGGAAUAUUGCACAAUGGGCGCAAGCCUGAUGCAGCCAUGCCGCGUGUAUGAAGAAGGCCUUCGGGUUGGAAAGUACUUUCAGCGGGGAGGAAGGGAGUAAAGUUAAUACCUUUGCUCAUUGACGUUACCCGCAGAAGAAGCACCGGCUAACUCCGUG
rnacentral:rRNA from 1 species